rnacentral:rRNA from 1 species
AACGGCGAGUGAAGCGGCAAGAGCUCAAAUUUGAAAUCUGGCCUCCCCUGGGGGCCCGAGUUGUAAUUUGCAGAGGAUGCUUCGGGUGCGGCCGCCGUCUAAGUUCCUUGGAACAGGACGUCAGAGAGGGUGAGAAUCCCGUCUUGGGCGGGCGGUCCGCGCCCGUGUGAAGCUCCUUCGACGAGUCGAGUUGUUUGGGAAUGCAGCUCUAAGCGGGUGGUAAAUUUCAUCUAAAGCUAAAUAUUGGCCGGAGACCGAUAGCGCACAAGUAGAGUGAUCGAAAGGUUAAAAGCACCUUGAAAAGGGAGUUAAACAGCACGUGAAAUUGUUGAAAGGGAAGCGCUUGCGGCCAGACUCGGGGGCGGGGUUCAGCGGGUGCUCGUCGCCCGUGUAUUCCUCGUUUCCCGGGCCAGCAUCAGUUUCGACGGCCGGUCAAAGGCCCCCGGAAUGUGUCGUCUCUCGGGACGUCUUAUAGCCGGGGGUGCAAUGCGGCCCGUCGGGACUGAGGAACGCGCUCCGGCUCGGAUGCUGGCGUAAUGGCCGUAAGCGGCCCGUCUUGAAACACGGACCAAGGAGUCUAACAUCCACGCGAGUGUUCGGGUGUCAAACCCGUGCGCGCAGUGAAAGCGAACGGAGGUGGGAGCCUUAGGGCGCACCAUCGACCGAUCCUGAAGUCUUCGGAUGGAUUUGAGUAGGAGCGUGGCCGUUGGGACCCGAAAGAUGGUGAACUAUGCCUGAAUAGGGUGAAGCCAGAGGAAACUCUGGUGGAGGCUCGCAGCGGUUCUGACGUGCAAAUCGAUCGUCAAAUUU